AUGGUGAUAUGGAUUCGUCUAUGCCGGUACUGUAUGAUCUCCAUUACACUGAGAGUAGCCCAUACCACAAACAACUCUCCUGAACCUGUCCACGCCCGUGGCGACUGUUUCAAGCCAUACAAAGAUUUCUUGAGCCUACACACCUUCCCAUCAGUCUGUUUGUUCCAAAACCUGGAGGAAUGUCCAUAUGGAUCUCUUCUUGUAAAUAACCACCAUGAAGAAAAGCAUUCUUCACAUCUAGCUGAUGUAAAGGCCACCCAAAGUAAGUUGACUGCGCAUGAGAUUAAGGUUCUCACCGUGUCCAUCUUUGCCACUGGUGCUUUGGUCUCAUCAUAG
rnacentral:rRNA from 1 species